rnacentral:tRNA from 1 species
CUAGGUGUAGGGCAGUCUGGUCAGCCUCCGUGCCUUGGACGCACGAUGUCGUUGGUUCGAAUCCAACCACCUAGC